rnacentral:rRNA from 1 species
GUGAAAUUGUUGAAAGGGAAACGCUUGAAGUCAGUCGCGUCGUCCGAGACUCAGCCUCGCCUCGGCUUGGUGUACUUCUCGACCGACGGGUCAGCAUCAAUUUUGCCCCUUGGAUAAUGGCGUGGGAAAUGUGGCACCUUUGCGGGUGCGUUAUAGUCCCUCGUCGCAUGCAAGGGUCGGGAUUGAGGAACUUAGCACGCGCCUUUUGGCGUCGGGGCCUUUGCCCACGAUACGUGCUUAGGAUGUUGGCGUAAUGGCUUUAAACGACCCGUCUUGAAACACGGACCAAGGAGUCUAACAUGCCCGCGAGUGUUCGGGUGGAAAACCCGUGCGCGCAAUGAAAGUGAAAGUUGGGACCUCUGUCGUGGAGGGCACCGACGCCCGGACCAGACCUUCUGUGACGGAUCUGCGGUGGAGCGUGUAUGUUAGGACCCGAAAGAUGGUGAACUAUGCCUGAAUAGGGUGAAGCCAGAGGAAACUCUGGUGGAGGCUCGUAGCGAUUCUGACGUGCAAAUCGAUCGUCAAAUUUGGGUAUAGGGGCGAAAGACUAAUCGAACCAUCUAGUAACUGGUUCCUGCCGAAGUUUC